rnacentral:rRNA from 1 species
UACGGGAGGCAGCAGUGGGGAAUAUUGCACAAUGGGCGCAAGCCUGAUGCAGCCAUGCCGCGUGUAUGAAGAAGGCCUUCGGGUUGUAAAGUACUUUCAGUCGUGAGGAAGGUGUUAAGGUUAAUAACCUUAGCAAUUGACGUUAGCGACAGAAGAAGCACCGGCUAACUCCGUGCCAGCAGCCGCGGUAAUACGGAGGGUGCGAGCGUUAAUCGGAAUUACUGGGCGUAAAGGGCACGCAGGCGGUUAAUUAAGUUGGAUGUGAAAUCCCCGGGCUUAACCUGGGAAUGGCAUUCAAGACUGGUUAGCUAGAGUCUUGUAGAGGGGGUAGAAUUCCAUGUGUAGCGGUGAAAUGCGUAGAGAUGUGGAGGAAUACCGGUGGCGAAGGCGGCCCCUGGGACAAAGACUGACGCUCAUGUGCGAAAGCGUGGGGAGCAAACAGGGAUUAGAUACC